UGUAACUGCCAGUCUGGCCCUUUUAAAAAAUUUGCUAUUAAGUUAAGUGGAAGCUUUGCCUGAGCAAGGUAUGCAGAAAUGAGUCACAGGGAGUAUAUGGAAUUUUCUCAGGACUUAGGGCUGCGCCUGUUGUAGCCAAAGGCAAAAUCUCUGGUGGAGCUCAGUAGUGCUUCUCUGAAUACAUUUCAUUUUCCGUACCAAUCUCUGUUUUAGUGAGAAACAUAAAACCAACAUGAAAGUCAUGCUGAAACAUACCACAAAGAAAGGUGUGUUCUUAAAUUGGGUUACCUAACCCAGGUUAGAUAAUUUAAGCUGUGGUUGCACAGCAAUUUAAAUUGCCUGCCAGGGAGGGUAGAACUACGUCAGCCAACAGUUAGAUGGGCAUCAACUAAUGCUGAGCUGUAGCCCCAGCUUCAGGCAGCAAGUGAGACAGGUGAGGUUCCCUGGGUCAGUUUAGAUGUAAUACGAUGCACAAGUCCCAUCUAAAGCUCCAAUUGCUUUCACCUGUCCAUGUAAAGACAUUGCUGUUAGAUUUUUAUAAGUUUUUGCAAUGUAGACAGACCUGGUGAACAUUUUGAGAGAGACAAUAACUCAAUAGAGCCUUAAUAUACAGACUUCUGUCUGUAGUAAAGGGAAGACAUUUCCUUCCUUAGAAGGCUUGCAAUCCUUGUGCUAUCAUUCCCUGUAAAGACCCCAAGUCUUAUGUUUCAGCAUGGUUGAAAAAUUAACACAGAAUAUCUAAUAACUAGUGUUAUUUUACCAUUUAUACCAGAAAUAGGCAUUGAAUCAAUAGCUUUGAUGAAGGUGGCUUCACAGAGCCUGACAUAGCUCUACAAGAACAAUGUUUGGACCCAUCCCAGUAAGAAUCCUAUGGAGAUGUUCUACAUCUGAAUGCAGAUGUCUUCAGGGAAGAAUCUAUGUCUCUCUAAUAGUGACAUAAGGAGAAUUAGGAAGGAAUAGGCAAUACCCUCUUUUAAUAACCAGCUAUGAGGCACUUGUCAAGUUUUCUAACAGCUUCUCCACAUCUUCCUGCAUUUUUAUGCAAGGUAGGUGCGUAUAUUGAAAACAAACAAAACAACAGACUGAAUAGUUCAUUCAUUACAUGACAUAGUCCUUAAUAAUUCUUAAUUCUAGCUAUGCUUGAAGCAGGAUUUUUUGUUCUGGUUGUUGCUAUGUCUCAAUGUACUUCUCUAUGUACUCUUUCAGGUACUGAAAAGAAUUAUUAAAUCUAGUGUAAAUCUCUCUUCAACAGCUAUCCUUCCGACACCUUUUUUUUUCUUAUGAAUCUAAAACCACUAUUCCCUAUUUAACAAUUGCAGUUGAAUAACAUCCUACACCUGAAUUUGUUUACAAAAGCAUUUGCCAUUAACAAAUUGCUUCCUGCAUCAACAAUGAAAGCAAACAUAUUAACCCCCAGAAGCUGGGGGAGGGAAGGAAAAGAAGAUAAACUCACCCAACAGCAAAAAACACUACAGUACCCUGGAGUGAUUGGG